AGCGAACGCUGGCGGCAGGCCUAACACAUGCAAGUCGAAAGGAUCCUUCGGGAUUAGUGGCGGACGGGUGAGUAACACGUGGGAACGUGCCCUUUGGUUCGGAACAACUCAGGGAAACUUGAGCUAAUACCGGAUGUGCCCUUCGGGGGAAAGAUUUAUCGCCAUUGGAGCGGCCCGCGUCUGAUUAGCUAGUUGGUGAGGUAAAGGCUCACCAAGGCGACGAUCAGUAGCUGGUCUGAGAGGAUGAUCAGCCACAUUGGGACUGAGACACGGCCCAAACUCCUACGGGAGGCUGCAGUGGGGAAUCUUGCGCAAUGGGCGAAAGCCUGACGCAGCCAUGCCGCGUGAAUGAUGAAGGUCUUAGGAUUGUAAAAUUCUUUCACCGGGGACGAUAAUGACGGUACCCGGAGAAGAAGCCCCGGCUAACUUCGUGCCAGCCGCCGCAGUAAGAC
rnacentral:rRNA from 1 species